GUGCUUGCUUCUGUAGCACAUAUACCCAAAUUGGAAUGAUACAGAGAUUGACAUGACCCCUGAACAAGAAAGACAUGCAAAUUCGUGAAGCAUUCACAUGGUUC